GGUGAACGGCUGGCGGCGUGCCUAACACAUGCAAGUCGAGCGGUGCAGUUUGAAGCUUCGGUGGAAAGCUGCAUAGCGGCGGACGGGUGAGGAAAACGUAGGAACGUGCCCCUUGGAGUUGGAUAGCCACGGGAAACUGUGGGUAAACCGACAUAGACUCGAGAGAGUAAAGGCCGAAAGGUGCCAAGGGAGCGGCCUGCGGCCCAUCAGGUAGUUGGUAGUGUAAAGGACUACCAAGCCGACGACGGGUAGCCGGUCUGAGAGGAUGGCCGGCCACAAGGGCACUGAGAGACGGGCCCUACUCCUACGGGAGGCAGCAGUGGGGGAUUUUGGACAAUGGGCGAAAGCCUGAUCCAGCGACGCCGCGUGGAGGACGAAGCCCUUCGGGGUGUAAACUCCUUUUCUCAGGGAAAAAGGAUGAUGGUACCUGAGGAAUAAGCCCCGGCUAACUACGUG
rnacentral:rRNA from 1 species